UUUUUCCUCUAUUAACUCUUUUCAUCUUUUGACUAUCUCAUUAGAUUAUGAAGAUAAUAAAACACAUUAAUCGAGUAGAUUUUCAUAAAUUCAUCAAAUAUGUGAUACUAGAAAGGGAAGUAAGCAAGAAACUACUGAUUUCCUCUCCCAAAUAUAUUUAGUUUGUACUAUGUUAUGUAUAUUACUUUGUCGAUUAUCAAGUUUACAUGGUUAUAUGUUGCUCUUUCUGCAUCAAAUUUAAGUCUGAUGUAAAUUUAUCAAGUUAUGCUCUUAAAUUUUGAAGGUUCUUGAGUAGUAUAUUACUAAUUGAGGGAGGAAUCUAUAGAUUGAUUUUAAAAUAAGAAGUCUUCCAGUAUAAAUCAAGUAUAUUGCUGCAGUUUGAAGGUAAUAGAUUUUCUACCCAAUUGUGGAUAGAAGAAGCAUUCAAAAGAAGAAGUUGAACAAACAAAAAAAAGAAAUAGUGAGAAUUUUCAGUUUUUCAUAAGAGGAAUACAUAUAGUGGAAGAUAGAAAGUCGGAGGCAUUACAACAGAAAAUUGAUCAUACUUACUUAACUUCAAAGGUUGUUGUAGGAAGGUAUUGGUUUUUCUCCAAUACUCCCUUUUCUCUUAAUACAUUACAGUUUUGAAGAUGGUUACAACUUACCUACUUAUCCUUUUUUGUCGUAAUUGAAGGAGUUCUCAAAUACGCAGUAUUGCAUUUCUUAGGUCACCUAAUUUUGAGUAUCUGUAUU